UAGCAAACAGGGGGAAAAGGCAUGACUUAUUUCGCAUACAGCUAGCCAAAGCUGUUGAAACUGUUGUCAUAACCAAGGCUUUUUAUUGGAACAGAAAACAGCAAGGGUCCAUUGAAAAAUACUGUUGGAAGUUUUUUUUUUCCACCAAGGCAGCUCAAGAAGGUUGGACACACAAGUACAGUGGCUCUUUUGGCCCAAGGCCAAGCCAACAUCAAAGUUAGUUCACUAACUUUACAUUCUAGUUAUGUUGGCUUGGCAACAAGCCAACAUACUGUUAUGCUAUUUAAACUUAUUUUUAUUUUUAUUUUUAUUUUUAUUAUUAUUAUUCUUCUGACACAGAAUUCCAAACGUAUCUCCUCCUAGGGCUUUUAAGCCACAAGCCCCAAACUCGGCAUACACCUGCGGGAUAUAGCGGUGCUGGUUGCUAUAUCUUUUUAGACUGAUCAGACUUACAGUUUAUUUAUUAUUAAUUUUUAUAAAUCAG
ensembl:lncRNA